AUGGAUCUGUACAACAAAACUAUUUUUUGGAAUGUGCGAGGUCUGAACAGUAGGGCCAAGCGCACCGCUGCCCGCAUUAUAAUAAACUCGGCUUCCCCCUACAUCGUCUGCUUCCAGGAGACUAUGAUCUCCGUGGUCACCCCGCCCCUGGUCCUUGAGACUCUUGGGCCUCUAUUCCGUGACUUCUUUUGGCUGGCUGGCGACGGAACGCGCGGGGGCAUUCUGCUUGCUUGGCGG
rnacentral:rRNA from 1 species